UACGGAGGGGGCGAGCGUUAUUCGGAAUUAUUGGGCGUAAAGGGCGCGUAGGCGGCCUGAUAAGUCAAAGGUGAAAUCCCUCGGCUCAACUGAGGAAUUGCCUUUGAAACUGUCAGGCUUGAGGCCGGGAGGGGGUGGCGGAAUUCCCAGUGUAGCGGUGAAAUGCGUAGAUAUUGGGAGGAACACCAGUGGCGAAGGCGGCCACCUGGACCGGUUCUGACGCUGAUGCGCGAAAGCGUGGGGAGCAAACGGG
rnacentral:rRNA from 1 species